UUUCUCACGAGGUUCAGAAGGCGAGGUGCCUUAGCAGGCAGCCAAAAUUGGAUGCCUAUUUUUUUGUUGGCACUGCAUUAUAUUUGAUGUACAUAUGUUCAGUUUCUGAGUUCGGUGGAAGGCUGCAAUAUUUAUAUUGCCAUUUAUGGUUUCACCACGGCACCGAAGAAGCAAAGGCUUGAAUGUUAGGUUCUGCAAUCCUGAACUUUGGAACUUAGAUAUGAUUGUCCUCUGGUCCAGCUUUGUGUAAUUAAAUGUAACUGCUCAUAAAUUGGUUUCCAAUUUUCUUAAUCAAAUGUUGUCUUUUGGUAGUUUU